rnacentral:rRNA from 1 species
GGAGGGUGCAAGCGUUGUUCGGAUUCAUUGGGCGUAAAGCGAGUGUAGGCGGUUUGACAAGUCGGAUGUGAAAUCCCGGGGCCCAACCCCGGAACUGCAUCCGAUACUGUCUGGCUAGAGUCCCGGAGAGGGUGGCGGAAUUCCCGGUGUAGGGGUGGAAUCCGUAGAUAUCGGGAGGAACACCAGUGGCGAAGGCGGCCACCUGGACGGUGACUGACGCUGAGACUCGAAAGCGUGGGUAGCAAACAGGAUUAGAUACCCUGGUAGUCCACGCUGUAAACGGUGAGUGCUCGUCGUCGUGGGUAUUGACCCCUGCGGUGACCAAGUUAACACAUGAAGCACUCCGCCUGGGAAGUACGGUCGCAAGACUA